AUAUUUAAUUUCACCAUAGAUUUCUUUAAGUUGUAGAUGUGAUGAUAAU
rnacentral:guide_RNA from 1 species